UACGGGGGGGGCAAGCGUUUGUUCGGAUUCAUUGGGCGUAAAGGGUGCGUAGGUGGCGCGCUAAGUCAGGUGUGAAAUUUCGGAGCUUAACUCCGAAACUGCAUUUGAUACUGGCGUGCUUGAGGACUGGAGAGGAGACUGGAAUUCAUGGUGUAGCAGUGAAUGCGUAGAGAUCAUGAGGAAGACCAGUGGCGAAGGCGGGUCUCUGGACAGUUCC
rnacentral:rRNA from 1 species